rnacentral:rRNA from 1 species
UACGUAGGGUGCAAGCGUUAUCCGGAUUCACUGGGUUUAAAGGGAGCGUAGGUGGGUUGGUAAGUCAGUGGUGAAAUCCCCGAGCUUAACUUGGGAACUGCCAUUGAUACUAUCAGUCUUGAAUACCGUGGAGGUCAGCGGAAUAUGUCAUGUAGCGGUAAAAUGCUUAGAUAUGACAUAGAACACCAAUUGCGAAGGCAGCUGGCUACACGAGUAUUGACACUGAGGCACGAAAGCAUGGGGAGCGAACGGG